rnacentral:tRNA from 1 species
GCGGGUAUAACUCAGAGGGAGAGUGCAUGCUUAGCAUACAAGAGGUCUUGGGUUCAACCCCCAGUACUGUCA